CUUACAUGUAUUUCAUUGAUUGAAUAAAAAGAAACGCGACAAGUAGUUCUUCUAUGUAAUGUCAAACUAGGAGGGCAAGUUUUCAAUUCAAAAAAAUAAUUAAACGAUUAGCGACCUAAGCAUAAGAUACAGUACUUAUCAUUAUGCAAGACAAAAAUCUAAAUAAAUUACAAGGACAGAAGAAUGAUGGCAUGGUAAAAUUAAGGAGAGCACUAAAGUUGCCACAAAAUGCCCCAUUUAAGGCAGCACUUAGAAAAUUUAAAUCAGCUGCAAAUGCUAUCACAGAGUUACAAAACAAAGAGGGGACACAUAAGUUGAGUUUCCGAAUAGUUAAAGGUAGAAAGAUAAUAAAUAAUAAACCUCAACACUGCAGAAAAUUGCAUACCAUCAGUAGAAUUUCCUUACAUUCAGCAAUAAAUGAGCAUUUAUAUCUUCAAUUAAAAAGAAAAGUAAGAAAAAUGACAUCAAAGAAGAAGAUAUGCAUCUUACAAUUUGAGAACAUUAGUCUUACUACCCAUUUAAGAAGAUCAGUAAGACAUAAAAAUAUUUAUCAUCAAGCUCUGGUAUUUACAGUGAGAGGAGUGAAAACAGACUACAUACAACCAAUUUCAUAUAUAUUCUGUUCAAGUACUACACCAGUCAUAGAUUUAUCAACUCAAAUAAAGCUUAUAAUAUCAAAGUUGCAAGCUAUAGGGCUUACCGUGAUAGCAACAGUAUGUAACUGCAACAAUUUGAAUGUUUGCACAAUUGAUUGGCUUAUCAGGGAUACUAUGAAACAAUAUUUGAGACAAGGAAAGGUAUUAGAAAAAAAAAUAUUCAAAGUUAACGGAGAAGAAAUAAUACCUCUGUACAAUCCUAGACAUCUUAUGAAAGUUUUACGUAAUAAUUUGAUGGAUCAUAAUUUAAGAUAUGAAUUAGAAGGUGAAGUAAGAGUUGGUAAAUGGGAGCACGUAGUUGCUCUGUACAAUCAAGAGGCUGGCAGCCAGUAUAAAUUGUUACCACUACUGACAGAAAAACAUGUGUAUCCCAAUAGGGUUUCUAGAAGUAGUAUGGAUUCAGCCAUAGAAGUAGUAAAUUGCGAAGUAGGAGCAGUUAUGGGAUUUAUAAUGAAUAUUCAGGAAAUUCCGUCGGAUUUCGAAGAUACAGUCAGAUUGUUUUUUUUUUUCGGCACUUUGUUCGACUCACUCGAUAUGACCUAUAUAAAAUUCAACACCAGAUCCAGGAAGCCUCGAAUAGGCCUUAUAACCCCUAAAUCAACGAGAAAAGAAAUCUGGGCAGAAUCGAAGAGCAUUUUAAAAACAAUGGAAUUUUGCAGUAACGGUGAAUCCCGUGUUCUUUCAAUAAGCAGUUGGUUGCAGACCGUUGAAAAUAUGGAAUAUCUUGUGGAAUUGUUAUUGACGGAGUAUAAGGUGUCAGUGGAACGCUGGAAAAAGUUUAAUCCCUUUGCUACUCAGCCUAAGGUGCUUAAAAAGUUUUCAAAGCGUUACAUUCACAUUUUGGGUCUCAUCACUUCACUGAUUAAUAAAGGUGCGUUAUAAACGCCAGCUGCCCACUGCACCAAAACGGUUUCACGUAAAUAUAACACAAACCAGUAGUGCAGCUGCGGCCGAAUUCAUGAAGUCGCGGUAUGUGCGGUCGGCAGUUGCAGUCGGCAGCUAGCAUUCAAAACGAACCUUUAAAA